ensembl:lincRNA Gm44944 predicted gene 44944
CAUGAGCAAAAUGCUCAUACACAUAAGAUAAUUAAAUAAAUCAAAAAAUAACUAAAAAAAAAAAGGAACAAAGAGAAAUUUGUUCCUCCUGCAGAAGCCAAGGAUAGACUUUGCUCAUCUUCAUCCAGGUCCAAAUGAUACCACGAGAUUUGUCUUGUGUCCAUCUCUCUGCUCUACAAUCUUCUGUGAUGGCGAAAUUCUCAGAUUCCUCUUGUGCCCUGAUGACAUCACAGAACACGGUAUCACAAACUGCGCCCUUCAAAUUACAAGUCUAUUUUGACCAAGACGUCUCUCCCUCCGUCCUGCCGUUUUCUUGUUCACUGUCCACGACUUGGUGUUUUCAGCUCGAGGUUGCACAUGCCACUCGAGAUUCGGGGAAGGUCCUUAGUGAUUAAAACCUUGUACAAUCAUCAGGGACAUAAGUAGAAGUAACUCGGUCCUCAGC